UACAGAGGGGGCGAGCGUUAUUCGGAAUUAUUGGGCGUAAAGAGCUCGUAGGCGGCUUGUCGCGUCGACUGUGAAAUCCCGCGGCUCAACUGCGGGUCUGCAGUCGAUACGGGCAGGCUAGAGUUCGGUAGGGGAGACUGGAAUUCCUGGUGUAGCGGUGAAAUGCGCAGAUAUCAGGAGGAACACCGAUGGCGAAGGCAGGUCUCUGGGCCGAUACUGACGCUGAGGAGCGAAAGCGUGGGGAGCGAACAGG
rnacentral:rRNA from 1 species